CAAAUUGUCUUCUCCGAGCGAAUUUUAUGACCGAAUUGUCUUGUACGAGCGAAUUGUCUGACAGACACAUACACAUGCAUGUGCCCUAUUUAUUACAUAAAAAUUAUAGAACCCCUAAGAUAAUCAUGCCGUCGAAACCUUCGACCGGACUAAAUCCAAACCACUAAAACUUCAAUCUUGCAUGCCGCAUGAAUUCUUCAGGCGCCUUUUCCUUGCGAUUUCGCGAAUUUUGUUCUUCACACACUCCAUCUAGUUUGAAGGUGACACAAUCAACUCUGUGACGAAACGUCUUCUCCUUGCGUCAACGGUGGCCUGCAAAAAAUGACAUAAAGGUUACAUGAACUGAAGUUGCUACACCACCAUAGUAGCUAGUCUACAAACGAAAAAUAACAACAUACCUGUGUAAAUUUGCGGGUGAUUCGGUCCCCGUCCCAAUGUUCUAGACAUUCUGUGACAAAAAGGCCACAAGAGUUCCUGGUACAUAUGCAAACAUUAGCGGUG
rnacentral:lncRNA from 1 species